CUUUUAGUACAUUCAUAGAUUGCACCUGUUUCCUUCGCACAGAUUUUAAAAUGGCACGUCCAUUUCUAGACAAUCCUGUAGAUGAGGAGGCUGUAUUAAUUCACACGGCAUUAAAUAUAUACGCCACAAGUUAAUUUUUUGUGACAUCCGCAUGCAUAUUUAUUUGAGCUGUACUGUUUUUCUCAAGAGUCCAUAUAUGAUGGCUCUCAAGCCAGAAGUGUUAAAGGUAUAAAAAACAAAACAAAAAAAAAUUUGGAGUGAGCGCUCCGCACAUUGGUCUCGGGAAAAUAGUUGGAGUGAGCGCUCUUGUUGCUCGUGUUUUAGUAAAUAUCUUUUUGUGGAGGUAAGCUAGGUUAACGGGGAGGAGAAACAAACGGUAGCUCAUGCAAAUGUUUAAGGCAGUUUUACAAUGCUGGAACUUUGGUUGCGUAUGUCUUUUUACAAUGUCAUAAAGCUGGGAACUUCAAACGAGAAACGCAAGCCUUGUGUGGAGUCCUUAGUUUAUUUGUUAGCUGGCUGUCUAGCAGCACAUGGUAGACGCGUUGUGAGGACAGCACACCAUAACUUAUAUCAAUAAUCUUAUCCACCCAUACGUCAGACACAUCACCCAUCGUGUCGUGCUCUUACAUCUGAGCAGAUUCUUUGUGUUGCGUUAUGAUUUUUUGCAAACUGUAGUUUUCUUUAUAACAUUGCAGAUGCUGAGCACAUUAGCAAAGCCAAUGUAUGGAGAGUAGUUAGAAAAGUGUGCCUUGCCCUCAAGCGCUUUCCCGCAAAUCUUUAUUGUGUUUCCUGGCCACAAACUCCUCAGAGCCGUUAAAGAGGAGUUUCACAGGAUUGCAGGUAUGUGGUAUUUAAUUUGUGUCAGUGAGGCUAAUCUGAAAAAUGAUGAUCAGUUAAUAACAUCUUACUGUGACCUCUGGAAAUCAAGUAAUACAUGUGCAGGUACACUGACUACUCUUUGUAAUGGUCACUCUAACUGACGUAUCAUUUUUUACUGCACAUAUUAUCACGAACGUGAAGGCCAAGUGGCCCGGCUCUGGUCAUGACUCAUGAAUAUAUCGUAAGUCAACCCUACAUAACACUGCACUGCUGCACUGUGGUAAGUACAUGUUUGUCCUAUAGACUUAUUUCAAUGCAUGCACUACACACACUCACAAGAGCACUUCUAUGCAGCACGAAAUGUGAACUUUCUUAUAGGAGAGAUUGACGGCUUUCUGCUCGAGAUAGGGGUUAAUGCCAGCCAACACUACUGACCCCUCACCCAGAACCUGAAGCAGGCCCCCAGCAGCGCUUUAAUGUGGCACACUGCAGAACAAGAGCCCGGGUGGAAAUGACCAUAGGCCUGUUGAAAGCACGUCUUCAGUGCCUACGUCACCUCAGGGUAACAGCUGAGAGGCCUGUGACAUUAUUGGGGCAUGUGUUGUUCUCCACAAUAUUGUAAUUAUUAGAGGGGAGCAACACCCUGCCCUACAAACACAAGACCCUGAGGAAGACUCCUUCCAUUAUGGUAAUCUGCAGGGUGGAUGGACAUUUGCCGUAAUGUCCUAAUCCAUCAUCACCACCAAUAAAAGAAACUGAAUAAAUGCA
ensembl:lncRNA